rnacentral:tRNA from 46 species
GGGGCCAUAGCUCAGUUGGUAGAGCGCCUGCUUUGCAAGCAGGAUGUCGUCGGUUCGAAUCCGUCUGGCUCCACCA